rnacentral:rRNA from 1 species
AGAGUUUGAUCCUGGCUCAGGAUGAACGCUGGCGGCGUGCUUAACACAUGCAAGUCGAACGGAAGUAAGAGACGGGAAGGGGCAGUUUACUGCCACAGAACAAUUUUUACUUUAGUGGCGGACGGGUGAGUAACGCGUGGGUAACCUGCCUUAUACAGGGGGAUAACACUUAGAAAUAGGUGCUAAGACCGCAUAAGCGCCCAGGGCCGCAUGGCCCAGGGUGAAAAACUCCGGUGGUAUAAGAUGGGCCCGCGUCUGAUUAGCCAGUUGGCAGGGUAACGGCCUACCAAAGCGACGAUCAGUAGCCGGCCUGAGAGGGUGGACGGCCACAUUGGGACUGAGACACGGCCCAAACUCCUACGGGAGGCAGCAGUGGAGGAUAUUGCACAAUGGGGGAAACCCUGAUGCAGCGACGCCGCGUGAGUGAAGAAGUAUUUCGGUAUGUAAAGCUCUAUCAGCAGGGAAGAAAGAAGACGGUACCUGAGUAAGAAGCCCCGGCUAACUACGUG